rnacentral:rRNA from 1 species
AUUGAACGCUGGCGGCAGGCCUAACACAUGCAAGUCGAGCGAGCGGCGGACGGGUGAGUAAUGUCUGGGAAACUGCCUGAUGGAGGGGGAUAACUACUGGAAACGGUAGCUAAUACCGCAUACCAUCAGAUGUGCCCAGAUGGGAUUAGCUAGUAGGUGGGGUAACGGCUCACCUAGGCGACGAUCCCUAGCUGGUCUGAGAGGAUGACCAGCAACAGUGGAACAGCGACACGGUACAGAGUCCUACGGUAGGCAGCAGUGGGAAAUAUUGCACAAUGGGCGCAAGCCUGAUGCAGCCAUGCCGGGUGGGUGAAGAAGGCCUUCGGGUUGUAAAGCACUUUAAGCGGGGAGGCGUUACCCGCAGAAGAAGCACCGGCUAACUCCGUGCCAGCAGCCGCGGUAAUAC